UUUGAUUGUUGCUCAGAAUGCGUGGGUUUGUCAGGCUUUCGAGCAAUGAUCAAACG
rnacentral:pre_miRNA from 1 species